CGGAGGGUGCAAGCGUUAUCCGGAUUCACUGGGUUUAAAGGGUGCGUAGGCGGGCAGGUAAGUCAGUGGUGAAAUCUCCGGGCUUAACCCGGAAACUGCCGUUUGAUACUAUCUGUCUUGAAUAUCGUGGAGGUAAGCGGAAUAUGUCAUGUAGCGGUGAAAUGCUUAGAUAUGACAUAGAACACCGAUUGCGAAGGCAGCUUACUACACGAUCAUUGACGCUGAGGCACGAAAGCGUGGGGAGCAAACAGGAUUAGAUACCCUGGUAGUCCACGCCCUAAACGAUGGAUACUCGACAUCAGCGAUACACUGUUGGUGUCUGAGCGAAAGCAUUAAGUAUCCCACCUGGGAAGUACGACCGCAAGGUUG
rnacentral:rRNA from 1 species